rnacentral:rRNA from 1 species
UACGUAGGGUGCAAGCGUUAAUCGGAAUUACUGGGCGUAAAGCGUGCGCAGGCGGUGAUGUAAGACAGAUGUGAAAUCCCCGGGCUCAACCUGGGAACUGCAUUUGUGACUGCAUCGCUGGAGUGCGGCAGAGGGGGAUGGAAUUCCACGUGUAGCAGUGAAAUGCGUAGAGAUGUGGAGGAACACCGAUGGCGAAGGCAGCCCCCUGGGCUAACACUGACGCUCAGGCACGAAAGCGUGGGGAGCAAACAGG